ACCCUGAUCCAGCCAUGCCGCGUGAGUGAUGAAGGCCUUAGGGUCGUAAAGCUCUUUCGCCUGUGAAGAUAAUGACGGUAGCAGGUAAAGAAACCCCGGCUAACUCCGUGCCAGCAGCCGCGGUAAUACGGAGGGGGUUAGCGUUGUUCGGAAUUACUGGGCGUAAAGCGCACGUAGGCGGAUCGGAAAGUUGGGGGUGAAAUCCCGGGGCUCAACCCCGGAACUGCCUCCAAAACUAUCGGUCUAGAGUUCGAGAGAGGUGAGUGGAAUUCCGAGUGUAGAGGUGAAAUUCGUAGAUAUUCGGAGGAACACCAGUGGCGAAGGCGGCUCACUGGCUCGAUACUGACGCUGAGGUGCGAAAGUGUGGGGAGCAAACAGGAUUAGAUACCCUGGUAGUCCACACCGUAAACGAUGAAUGCCAGUCGUCGGGUAGCAUGCUAUUCGGUGACACACCUAACGGAU
rnacentral:rRNA from 1 species